UAGACAGGUGCUGCAUGGUUGUCGUCAGCUCGUGUCGUGAGAUGUUGGCUUAAGUGCCGCAACGAGCGCAACCCCUGUGUUUAGUUACUCCGCAAGGAGGUCUCUAGACAGACUGCCUCGCUUUAAACGAGGAGGAAGGUGGGGAUGACGUCAAAUCAGUAUGGCCCUUACGGCCAGGGCUGCACACGUGCUACAAUGCGCAGUACAGAGGGACGCAAGACCGCGAGGUGGAGCAAAUCCCAUAAAACUGUGCCCAGUUCAGAUCGAAGGCUGCAACUCGCCUUCGUGAAGCCGGAAUCGCUAGUAAUGGCGUAUCAGCUACGACGCCGUGAAUACGUUCCCGGGCCUU
rnacentral:rRNA from 1 species